rnacentral:rRNA from 1 species
GAUGAACGCUGGCGGCGUGCCUAAUACAUGCAAGUCGAGCGAAUGGAUUAAGAGCUUGCUCUUAUGAAGUUAGCGGCGGACGGGUGAGUAACACGUGGGUAACCUACCCAUAAGACUGGGAUAACUCCGGGAAACCGGGGCUAAUACCGGAUAACAUUUUGAACCGCAUGGUUCGAAAUUGAAAGGAGGCUUCGGCUGUCACUUAUGGAUGGACCCGCGUCGCAUUAGCUGGUUGGGGAGGUAACGGAUCACCAAGGCAACGAUGCGUAGCCGACCUGAGAGGGUGAUCGGCCACACUGGGACUGAGACACGGCCCAGACUCCUACGGGAGGCAGCAGUAGGGAAUCUUCCGCAAUGGACGAAAGUCUGACGGAGCAACGCCGCGUGAGUGAUGAAGGCUUUCGGGUCGUAAAACUCUGUUGUUAGGGAAGAACAAGUGCUAGUUGAAUAAGCUGACACCUUGACGGUACCUAACCAGAAAGCCACGGCUAACUACGUGCCAGCCGCCGCAGUAA